rnacentral:rRNA from 1 species
AACGAUGAUAACUGGGCGUAUGCGAUAUACAGUAUGCUCCUAAGCGAAAGCGUUAAGUUAUCCACCUGGGGAGUACGCCGGCAACGGUGAAACUCAAAGGAAUUGACGGGGGCCCGCACAAGCGGAGGAACAUGUGGUUUAAUUCGAUGAUACGCGAGGAACCUUACCCGGGAUUGAAAUGUAGACGACGAGCGGUGAAAGUCGCUUUCCCUACGGGGCGUCUAUGUAGGUGCUGCAUGGCUGUCGUCAG